UAGGGAAUCUUCGGCAAUGGACGAAAGUCUGACCGAGCAACGCCGCGUGAGUGAAGAAGGUUUUCGGAUCGUAAAACUCUGUUGUUAGAGAAGAACAAGGGUGAGAGUAACUGUUCACCCCUUGACGGUAUCUAACCAGAAAGCCACGGCUAACUACGUGCCAGCAGCCGCGGUAAUACGUAGGUGGCAAGCGUUGUCCGGAUUUAUUGGGCGUAAAGCGAGCGCAGGCGGUUUCUUAAGUCUGAUGUGAAAGCCCCCGGCUCAACCGGGGAGGGUCAUUGGAAACUGGGAGACUUGAGUGCAGAAGAGGAGAGUGGAAUUCCAUGUGUAGCGGUGAAAUGCGUAGAUAUAUGGAGGAACACCAGUGGCGAAGGCGGCUCUCUGGUCUGUAACUGACGCUGAGGCUCGAAAGCGUGGGGAGCAAACAGGAUUAGAUACCCUGGUAGUCCACGCCGUAAACGAUGAGUGCUAAGUGUUGGAGGGUUUCCGCCCUUCAGUGCUGCAGCUAACGCA
rnacentral:rRNA from 1 species